AAUAAACACAUUAUUUACCGGCAGCGUCGGUCCGGAUGAGAAAAACUGUGCCCUCGGUCUUGAAAACGUCCCUCGCCCUUCGGGCUCGGGCCGUUUUCAAGACCUCGGGCACAGUUUUUCUCAUCCGGACCGACGCUGCCGGUAAAUAAUGUGUUUAUG